rnacentral:rRNA from 1 species
CCCGCCGGCGACCGGCGCACGGGUGAGUAACACGUAUGCAACCUGGCCGCCACAGGGGAUAACCCGCGGAAACGCGGCCUAAUACCCCGUGACGCCACCGGAGGGCAUCCUCCGGUGGCCAAAGGAGCGAUCCGGUGGCGGAUGGGCAUGCGGCGCAUUAGCUAGACGGCGGGGUGACGGCCCACCGUGGCGACGAUGCGUAGGGGUUCUGAGAGGAAGGCCCCCCCACACUGGGACUGAGACACGGCCCAGACUCCUACGGGAGGCAGCAG